CCAAUAGCGUAUAUUAAAGUUGUUGCAGUUAAAAAGCUCGUAGUUGAAUUUCGGGAUCAAUAUGUUGGUCGUGCCUUGGUACGUACUGGCGUCAUUGGUUUCUACCUUCUGAAGAACCUCGAUGUCAUUAAUUUGGUGUCUUGGGGAAUCAGGACUGUUACUUUGAAAAAAUUAGAGUGUUUAAAGCAGGCUCACGCUUGAAUACAUUAGCAUGGAAUAAUGAAAUAGGACGUUUGAUUCUAUUUUGUUGGUUUCUAGGAUCGACGUAAUGAUUAAUAGGGAUAGUUGGGGGCAUUAGUAUUCAAUUGUCAGGGGUGAAAUUCUUGGAUUUAUUUAAGACUAACUACUGCGAAAGCAUUUGCCAAGGACGUUCUCAUUAAUCAAGAACGAAAGUUAGGGGAUCGAAGACGAUCAGAUACCGUCGUAGUCUUAACCAUACACUAUGCCGACUAGGGAUCGGAUGAUGUUAAUUUUUUAAUGACUCAUUCGGCGCCUUACG
rnacentral:rRNA from 1 species